UGCCCACUGAAUUUUUAAAGGGCCGCAGUAUUUUAACUGUGCAAAGGUAGCAUAAUAAUUAGUUUCUUAAUUAGAAGCUGGUAUGAAUGGUUGAACGAGAAAUUUACUGUCUCUAUUUAUUAGUUAAAAUUUUAUUUUUAAGUUAAAAAGCUUAAAUUAAUUUAAAAGACGAGAAGACCCUAUAGAGUUUUAUAAUUAUGAAUAUUUUAUAUUUUUAGAAUUUAAUUUUUAUUUAUAAUUAUUUUAUUGGGGUGAUAUAUAAAUUUAAUAAACUUUAUAUUUUUAAUAACAUAAAUUAAUGAUAAAUUGAUCCAUUUUAAUGAUUAAAAGAAAAAAUUACCUUAGGGAUAACAGCGUUAUUUUUUUUUAGAGUUCUAAUCGAAAAAAAAGAUUGCGACCUCGAUGUUGGAUUAAAAUUAAUUUUUGGUGUAGAAGCUAAAAAAUUAGGUCUGUUCGACCUUUAAAAUUUUACAUGAUCUGAGUUUAAACCGGCGUGAGCCAGGUUGGUUUCUAUCUUUAAAUAAAGUAAAUAUUUUAGUACGAAAGGACCAAAUAUUUUUAAAAUUUAAUAUUUUUUGAAUA
rnacentral:rRNA from 1 species